GGGGUUGCAGCUCAGUGAUAGAGCGCUUGCCUAGAAUGCAUGAGGCACUGGGUUCGAUUCUCAGCACCGCA
rnacentral:tRNA from 1 species